AUUGAACGCUGGCUGCAGGCCUAACAUAUGCAAGUCGAGCGAGCGGCGGACGGGUGAGUAAUGUCUGGGAAACUGCCUGAUGGAGGGGGAUAACUACUGGAAACGGUAGCUAAUACCGCAUACCAUCAGAUGGGCCCAGAUGGGAUUGUCUAGUAGGUGGGGUAACGGCUCACCUAGGCAACGAUCCCUAGCUGGUCUGAGAGGAUGACCAGACACACUGGAACUGAAACACGGUCCAGAUUACUCCGGGAGGCAGCAGUGGGGAAUAUGAAACAAUGGGCGCGGGCCUGAUGGAGCCAUGCAGCGUGUGGGAAGAGGGCCUUCGGGUUGUGAAGCACUUUCGGCGGGGAGGCGUUACCCGCAGAAGAAGCACCGGCUAACUCCGUGCCAGCAGCCGCGGUAAUAC
rnacentral:rRNA from 1 species